UCCCUGAUAUCUCAGUUGUUAAAGAAUCUGCCUGUAAUGCAGGAGACCCCAAUUCAAUUCCUGGGUCAGGAUG
rfam:TPA: Bos taurus chromosome 10, whole genome shotgun sequence.